ACGAACGCUGGCGGCGUGCUUAACACCUGCAAGUCGAACGAUGAAGAAAAGAAUCGAAGCUUCGGCAGAAAUUCAUUUCGGAUUAGUGGCAGACGGGUGAGUAACGCGUGAGCAACCUACCUCUUACAAAGGGAUAGCCUCGGGAAACCGGGAUUAAUACCAUAUAACAUUGCGACGAAGCAUUUCGAUGCAAUCAAAGCUACGGCGGUAAGAGAUGGGCUCGCGUCCCAUUAACCGGAUGGUGAGGUAACGGCUCACCAUAGUGACGAUGGGUAACCGGCCUGAGAAGGUGAACGGUCACACUGGAACUGAGACACGGUCCAGACUCCUACGGGAGGCAGCAGUGGGGAAUAUUGCACAAUGGAGGGAACUCUGAUGCAGCGACGCCGCGUGAGUGAUGAAGGAAUUCGUUUCGUAAAACUCUGUUCUAUGGGAAGAAAAGGACUGUACCAUAGGAGAAAGCUCCGGCUAAAUACGUG
rnacentral:rRNA from 1 species